CAGACUUCUUCGUGAGUUCGAGAAGGGCCUUCAGAGAGUGGAAAGCCAAGUACAAGCACUUGAUGACUGGCUGUCUGAUGAAGAUGAGGAGGAGGCAGAAGAGGAGAAGGCAGAAGUAGAUAUCCUCGUAGGUGAAGCGGACAUGGACCUUCAGAGGU